rnacentral:rRNA from 1 species
CACUAGUGAUUGGUGUUCUUCCCGAUAUCUACACAUUCCACCGUUACACCGGGAAUUCCAGUCUCCCCUACCGCACUCAAGCCCGCCCGUACCCGGCGCGGAUCCACCGUUAAGCGAUGGACUUUCACACCGGACGCGACGAACCGCCUACGAGCCCUUUACGCCCAAUAAUUCCGGAUAACGCUUGCACCCUACGUAUUACCGCGGCUGCUGGCACGUAGUUAGCCGGUGCUUAUUCGAAAGGUACACUCACCCGAAGGCUUGCUCCCGAUCAAAAGCGGUUUACAACCCGAAGGCCGUCAUCCCGCACGCGGCGUCGCUGCAUCAGGCUUGCGCCCAUUGUGCAAUAUUCCCCACUGCUGCCUCCCGUAGGAGUCUGGGCCGUAUCUCAGUCCCAAUGUGGCCGGUCGCCCUCUCAGGCCGGCUACCCGUCGUAGGCUCGGUGGGCCGUUACCCCGCCGACUACCUGAUAGGACGCGACCCCAUCCCAUACCGAUAUAAUCUUUCCCAGAAGGACAUGCAUCCAACUGGAGCAUCGGCAUUACCACCCGUUUCCAGGAGAAUCGAAUCC